UACGUAGGUGGCGAGCGUUGUCCGGAUUUACUGGGCGUAAAGAGCGCGCAGGCGGUCGUUCAAGUCGCGUGUGAAAGCCCCUGGCUCAACUGGGGAGGGUCACGCGAUACUGUUCGACUCGAAGGCAGGAGAGGGAAGUGGAAUUCCCGGUGUAGUGGUGAAAUGCGUAGAUAUCGGGAGGAACACCAGUGGCGAAGGCGACUUCCUGGCCUGUUCUUGACGCUGAGGCGCGAAGGCUAGGGUAGCAAACGGG
rnacentral:rRNA from 1 species